AGAAAGCGGGGGAUCGUAAGACCUCGUGUUAUAGGAGCGGCCGAUGUCGGAUUAGCUAGUUGGUGGGGUAAAGGCCUACCAAGGCGACGAUCCGUAGCGGGUCUGAGAGGACGGCCCGCCACACUGGGACUGAGACACGGCCCAGACUCCUACGGGAGGCAGCAGUGGGGAAUUCUGGACAAUGGGGGCAACCCUGAUCCAGCCAUGCCGCGUGAGUGAAGAAGGCCUUCGGGUUGUAAAGCUCUUUCGGCCGGGAAGAAAUCGUGCGGGCUAAUACCCUGUAUGGAUGACGGUACCGGAAGAAGAAGCACCGGCUAACUACGUGCCAGCAGCCGCGGUAAUACGUAGGGUGCGAGCGUUAAUCGGAAUUACUGGGCGUAAAGCGUGCGCAGGCGGUUUCGUAAGACAGAUGUGAAAUCCCCGGGCUUAACCUGGGAACUGCGUUUGUGACUGUGAGACUUGAGUGCGGCAGAGGGGGGUGGAAUUCCACGUGUAGCAGUGAAAUGCGUAGAG
rnacentral:rRNA from 1 species